rnacentral:rRNA from 1 species
CAGUAGCCACGGUAAUACGAAGGGGGCUAGCGUUGCUCGGAAUGACUGGGCGUAAAGGGCGCGUAGGCGGUUUGCACAGUCGGGUGUGAAAUUCCUGGGCUUAACCUUGGGGCUGCAUUCGAGACGUGUAGGCUUGAGUGGGGAAGAGGGUCGUGGAAUUCCCAGUGUAGAGGUGAAAUUCGUAGAGAUGUGGAGGAACACCGAUGGCGAAGGCAGCCCCCUGGGCCAAUACUGACGCUCAUGCACGAAAGCGUGGGGAGCAAACAGGAUUAGAUACCCGCGUAGUCCCUGUCUCUUAUAA